AUUGAACGCUGGCGGCAGGCUUAACACAUGCAAGUCGAACGAGUGGCGGACGGGUGAGUAAUGCUUGGGAAUCUAGCUUAUGGAGGGGGAUAACUAUGGGAAACUGUAGCUAAUACCGCGUACCAUAGGAUGAGCCCAAGUGGGAUUAGGUAGUUGGUGGGGUAAAGGCUCACCAAGCCGAAGAUCCCUAGCUGGUCUGAGAGGAUGACCAGCCACACUGGUACUGAGACACGGCCCAGACUCCUACGGGAGGCAGCAGGGGGGAAUAUUGGACAAUGGGCGAAAGCCUGAUCCAGCCAUGCCGCGUGUGUGAAGAAGGUCUUCGGAUUGUAAAGCACUUUAAGUUGGGAGGCGUUACCAACAGAAUAAGCACCGGCUAACUUCGUGCCAGCAGCCGCGGUAAUAC
rnacentral:rRNA from 1 species